rnacentral:lncRNA from 1 species
GAGAAUUCUGACUGUUACUACAAGAGAAAAUAAGCAUCAGACUGAUCCCAGACAUACCAUUAUAAUCUUUACCAGGUCUAGGGUAGGUCUUUUUUAACCUCCAAAAGGGGUAUCCAAUUUUCACUCUUUUGAGAUCUUCCUGUUCUUUUCAGCCUUCCCCUAACACACAUCCUCUUCUACCAACACAGCUUACUUUGCAAAUUCUGAAGUUCUGGUGAAGGCAGGCUUCCUACUGCUUUGGAAUUGGAGUUGACUAUGCUCAAAAUCAUAUAUGAAACAAGAGGAACUGAAAGAACAUAGAACUGUAAAACUGGACUUCAGUACCGAGCUCUGAAAUUGGAGCAAGUUCCCUAACUUCUCUCAGCCCCAGGCCCAUCACACAUAAUUCUUCUACCACUGAGGUAUGGGGAAGACUAUAGAGAUCAUGUUCAUGAGACAUCUCCCAUGGUGCCUGACACCUACAAGAACUCCACUUAAGGAUAGUAGGAUUGAAUAGAGUUGUGUUAAAGAAUGAGCUGAGGGAAUAUGUUGGGGUAUGGGGGGCCAAUAAGAAACACUAAAAUGAUAGAACAAAAGACAAAUUUUCUGCCAAAAAAAAAAAAAAUGGACUGGCUUUUCUGGGUAAAGUGUAGUUUUUCUCAGUCAGCAAGGCAUAUAGCUGCAGUAACAACUUCUUCCACUGUAUGAACUACUCAGUUCAAAAUGUAGCUUAGAAUUGCAGUGCAAAUGGAAAAUAUAUAGUGAAAUGGUUUUCUUUAUUUUAUACUAAUAAAGGUUUUAGAAGGUAUAGCCAGCAGAAAACACGAACACAAUUGCAUUUUUUUGUUGUUGUUGUUGUUAUCAGAGACAACCCAUGAUAAUAUCCUGAUAUUUUCCCCUCUACAGUGCUGAGAACCCAGGACAUUGUGCAUUCUAGACAAGUACUCUACCACUGAGCUAUACCCCCAGCCCUGCCAUCCUGAUUUCUUUGCUUAAGUUUCCUCUGACCACUCUACAGAGUUCUCUAUGACCCAGAUCUUGCCCCCGGAAGACAUUUCACUUCAUUCCUUCAUAGAAUAUGUCAUAUAAUCAUUUGUCCUCCUGCCCCAUUCUACAGGCAUCCACCUCAUGCAUUCAUUCUUUCUGUCUUUCCCCCAAAUACUUGUCAAGAUUAUGUUUUAUAUUUUUAAGUAAUGUAUUUCAACAUGCAUGAUUUCAAAUUAGGAAUUAUAUGCUUUCCUUUAAGUAAGAAUUUCUCAAUAGAACUAAUUAUACAAUUAUGUCUGCUUUGUAAAAGAGAAAUCAUAAAGAAAUGAGAUCAUAUUUCUAGGGAAAUAACAAGUCAAAAUUCACAUGCAUGCAAUUCUACUUUGAUUUGCUUGGCG